rnacentral:rRNA from 1 species
GAUAGUGAACCAGUACCGUGAGGGAAAGGCGAAAAGAACCCCGGCGAGGGGAGUGAAAAAGAACCUGAAACCGUGUACGUACAAGCAGUGGGAGCACAGGUUUACCUGUGUGACUGCGUACCUUUUGUAUAAUGGGUCAGCGACUUAUAUUCUGUAGCAAGGUUAACCGAAUAGGGGAGCCGGAGGGAAACCGAGUCUUAAUUGGGCGUUAAGUUGCAGGGUAUAGACCCGAAACCCGGUGAUCUAGCCAUGGGCAGGUUGAAGGUUGGGUAACACUAACUGGAGGACCGAACCGACUAAUGUUGAAAAAUUAGCGGAUGACCUGUGGCUGGGGGUGAAAGGCCAAUCAAACCGGGAGAUAGCUGGUUCUCCCCGAAAGCUAUUUAGGUAGCGCCUCGUGAAUUCAUCUCCGGGGGUAGAGCACUGUUUCGGCUAGGGGGCCAUCCCGGCUUACCAACCCGAUGCAAACUGCGAAUACCGGAGAAUGUUAUCACGGGAGACACACGGCGGGUGCUAACGUCCGUCGUGAAGAGGGAAACAACCCAGACCGCCAGCUAAGGUCCCAAAGUCAUGGUUAAGUGGGAAACGAUGUGGGAAGGCCCAGACAGCCAGGAUGUUGGCUUAGAAGCAGCCAUCAUUUAAAGAAAGCGUAAUAGCUCACUGGUCGAGUCGGCCUGCGCGGAAGAUGUAACGGGGCUAAACCAU